GUUUUUGCUGCCCCAUGCUUGUUUUGCAGUAAAGCCCUGGUGGGAAGUUUUGAACCGAAAGGCCACUGCUGGGAGCUAAUAGAGACGAGGCAACUAGGGGAGAUCCAGGCGCUUGCACUGUAAAUUCCGCAGCUUCUGAACAGUGAUUUUCAAAGAGCCCUCAAACCACUGAACAGCUGCUAACAACCUGAAAUGGAAACAGGAAGCAGUGGCUUUGCGAUGGAUGGCACCAACUGGGAGGAGACACAGACAUCUCCACUGACUUUCUGAUGAAGUCUUCAGGGGCUGCCUCGCUGAUGAUAAUCAAAGUGAGAUCAAGCAUCAGGGGGCAUUCCUUGCUAGAGGUAGUGCUGGGCAGGAAAGAAUCCCUUGGAGACAGGCAGUUUCAUAAGUCCCUUUCAAAUCUUACUGUGUUCCCCCAAGAAGAUGGAAUUUGUCUCUGAAGACUUCCUCAGAAACUUGUCAUGGCCCCAAAUACACAGGAAUACUUGAACUGACAAACUCUAAGUGACUUUGACAGCUUUAUCUGCUGGAUAAACAACACUUCAUCUCCCCAUUUUAAAAUCAUGGCAAUGUUUAUAGGAUGUUUGGGCUCAGUGAUAAAGAAGCUGCCUGCCAAUACAGAAGAUGCAGGUUCAAUCCCUGGGUCAGGAAAAUGCCCUGAAGAAGGAAAUGGCAAUCCACUUUAGUAUUCUUGCCUGGAAAAUCCUAUGGACAGAGGAGCCUGGUGGGCUACAGUCCAUGGGGUCGCAAAAGAGUCAGACAUGGCUGAACAACAACAGCUAUCCUUUCAUAAUGCAAAAACGCCAGGUACAAAAGAGCUCCCUGGAUCACUCAUGAGUAUGCCCAGCAAAUGUUAUCACUGCCUCGGAAAAUCAAAGAUCAUCCAGAGGUCCACCCAAAGCCUAGGCCCUACAUCUGGGCCCUGCCUGGUCAAGAAAGACAAUGAGUCCAGGUACUGGAAGCCGGCCCAUCCUUCACAGCCUCGAUGCCAUCCACAGAUACUACGUUUGUUGGCAUCACCUGUCAUUUCCAUUCACAAGUUGAGAUCAGAACCCCAAACCUCUUCCAUGUGACACAGUGUCUUCGUAUUGGAUGCUGACGUGUGGUCAACAGUAACAUUUUAGGUGCAUGAAGGGUGGAGCACAAGACUCAGCAUCGCGUACUGGCCGUGUGUAACCCAAGGCCAUCAUCAAUUUGCCAAAACCAAACAAUGAUGGGGUGUCCAGGGUGGGAUGGGGGACAAGUUAAAGCAAUAUUUAGUGGGAGCAGGAGGCUGGGAGGAAGGUUUGCUGCAGAGAAGAAAGAUGCUUCAUUUCUUUGCCCUCAGCAGCCAUGACCCUCCACAUAAACAUGAGCACCAAAACGUCAUGCUUCCAAGGAACAUGAGCAAGAUUUCAGUUUUCCAUUCUAUGCACCUGACAGCCCAGAAUGACAGGCCCGGGGAUCGCAUUUCAUUCUCCCACAAGGAGCAUGGCAGGACUUCGGUCUCUUGGCUUUGCAAACUACCUCUCUCCGGCUCUGAGGGCCAAGAUAAUUAAAAUCCCGAAGGAAAGAAAGGACAGGAAGAAAGGACAUGUGCUUCAACAUGCGUGACAACCCUUUCAGCGGCCGGCACUCAGGGCACUUAGUGCUUUCAACC